rnacentral:tRNA from 1 species
GAGGGGGGCUUGCUAGCAACAAGAACUGCUAAUUCUCGUCCCCUCGGUUGGAUUCCGGAGCCCUCUCG